GGGCACUGGAGCUGGAAAGGCCAGGAGGGCGGGGCUCGAAGUUGAGGGCGUGACCAAAUUGAUCGAGUACGGUGGAAGAGGUGCAGUGUAUUGCAAAUAGGGCGGAGGUCUUCCUACUGGAGUAGCAGCUUUAAGCUAGAGGAAAGGACAUCUAGAUUCCCUUUGAACAUGCAAUCCGACCCAUUCUCUGUAGAUUUUUUGCCACUCAAAUGCGAUGCCUGCUCCGGCAUCUUCUGCGCAGACCAUGUGGCCUACGCCCAUCAUCACUGUGGAUCAGCUUACCAAAAGGAUAUCCAGGUACCUGUGUGCCCGCUCUGUAAUGUGCCUGUGCCGGUAGCCAGAGGGGAGCCUCCUGACCGGGCCGUAGGAGAGCAUAUUGACAGAGACUGUCGCUCUG
rnacentral:lncRNA from 1 species